UUUGUGGUAUAUUGAAUGAGAAUGACCCCCACAGGCUCAUAUGUUUGAAUGUAAUUUGUUUCCAAGUUUGUGGACUCUUUAAGAAAGAUUAGGAGAACACCAAUGGCUUAUGCUCUAAGAUCAAGAAUUGACAAAUGGGACCUCAUAAAACUGUAAAAUUUCUGUAAGCCAAAGGACACUGUCAUUACGACAAAACGGCAACCAACAGAUUGGGAAAAGAUCUUUACCAAUCCUACAACAGAUAGAGCCCUUAUAUCCAAAAUAUACAAAGAACUCCAGAAGUUAGACCCCAGAGAGCCAAAUAACCCUAUUAAAAAUGGGGUACAGAGCUAAACAAAGAAUUCUCAGCUGAGGAAUAUGGAGUGGCUGAGAAGCACCUAAAGAAACAUUCAACAUCCUUAAUCAUCAAGGAAAUGCAAAUCAGAACAACCCUGAGAUUUCACCUCACACCAGUGAGAAUGGCUAAGAUCAAAAACUCAGGUGACAGCAGAUGCUGGCGAGGAUGCGGAGAAAGAGGAACACUCCUCCAUUGUUGGUGGGAUUGCACACUAGUACAACCAUUCUGGAAAUCAGUCUGGAGAAUCCUCAGAAAAAUUGGACAUUGAACUACCUGAGGACCCAGCUAUACCUCUCUUGGCAUAUACCCAAAAGAUGCCCCAACAUAUAACAAAGACACGUGCUCUACUAUGUUCAUAGCAGCCUUAUUUAUAAUAGCCAGAAGCUGGAAAGAACCCAGAUGCCCUUCAACAGAG
rnacentral:lncRNA from 1 species